GAAAUCAUACUAUACAGAAUCAUUUCUGCAGUGUGUAUUUC
rfam:Dictyocaulus viviparus strain HannoverDv2000 D_viviparus-1.0_Cont292.1, whole genome shotgun sequence.